rnacentral:rRNA from 1 species
GGGUUGUGAGGUUAAGCGACUAAGCGUACACGGUGGAUGCCCUGGCAGUCAGAGGCGAUGAAGGACGUGCUAAUCUGCGAUAAGCGUCGGUAAGGUGAUAUGAACCGUUAUAACCGGCGAUUUCCGAAUGGGGAAACCCAGUGUGAUUCGUCACACUAUCAUUAACUGAAUCCAUAGGUUAAUGAGGCGAACCGGGGGAACUGAAACAUCUAAGUACCCCGAGGAAAAGAAAUCAACCGAGAUUCCCCCAGUAGCGGCGAGCGAACGGGGAGCAGCCCAGAGCCUGAAUCAGUGUGUGUGUUAGUGGAAGCGUCUGGAAAGGCGUGCGAUACAGGGUGACAGCCCCGUACACAAAAAUGCACAUGCUGUGAGCUCGAUGAGUAGGGCGGGACACGUGGUAUCCUGUCUGAAUAUGGGGGGACCAUCCUCCAAGGCUAAAUACUCCUGACUGACCGAUAGUGAACCAGUACCGUGAGGGAAAGGCGAAAAGAACCCCGGCGAGGGGAGUGAAAAAGAACCUGAAACCGUGUACGUACAAGCAGUGGGAGCCUCUUUAUGGGGUGACUGCGUACCUUUUGUAUAAUGGGUCAGCGACUUAUAUUCUGUAGCAAGGUUAACCGAAUAGGGGAGCCGAAGGGAAACCGAGUCUUAACUGGGCGUUAAGUUGCAGGUAUAGACCCGAAACCCGGUGAUCUAGCCA